rnacentral:rRNA from 1 species
GACGAACGCUGGCGGCGUGCUUAACACAUGCAAGUCGAACGAAGUGGCGAACGGGUGAGUAAUACGUGAGUAACCUGCCCUCCUUUUUGGGAUAAGCCUUGGAAACGGGGUCUAAUACCGGAUAAAGGGGGAUGGGCUCGCGGCCUAUCAGCUUGUUGGUGGGGUGAUGGCCUACCAAGGCGGUGACGGGUAGCCGGCCUGAGAGGGUGGCCGGCAACAUUGGGCCUGAGAGACGGCCGAGACGCGUACGUGAGGCAGAAGUGGGGGAUAGUGCACAAUGGGCGAAAGCAUGAUGCAGCGAAGCCGCGUGGGGGAUGAAGGCUUUCGGGUUGUAAACCUCUUUCGGUAUAGAACGGGUAGGUGGAGAAGAAGCGCCGGCUAACUACGUGCCAGCAGCCGCGGUAAUUC